GGAGGCAGCAGUGAGAAUAUUCACCAAUGGGCGAAAGCCUGAUGCAAGCACGCCGCGUGUGUGAUGAAGCUUCGGGUCGUAAAGCACUUUUCUGGGAGAUGAGAAAGGACAGUAUCCCAGGAAUAAGUCUCGGCUAACUACGUGCCAGCAGCCGCGGUAAAACGUAGGAGGCAAGCGUUAUCCGGAUUCACUGGGCGUAAAGCGCGUGCAGGUGGUUCGGUAAGUUGGGCAUGAAAUCUCCCGGCUCAACUGGGAGAGGUCGUUCAAUACUACCGAACUUGAGAGCAGAAGAGGAAGAUGGAAUUCCCGGUGUAGUGGUGAAAUGCGUAGAGAUGCGGAGGAACACCAGUGGCGAAGGCGAUCUUCUGGUCUGUUUCUGACACUCAGACGCGACAGCUAGGGUAGUAAACGGGAUUAGAGACCCCGGUAAUCCUAGCCGUAAACGAUGUGAACUUGGCGUUGGUGGGUUAAACUCCAUCAGUGCCGAAGCAAACGCGAUAAGUUCACCGCCUGGGGACUACGGCCGCAAGGUUAAAACUCAAAGGAAUUGACGGGGGCCCGCACAAGCAGCGGAGCGUGUGGUUUAAUUCGAUGCUACACGAAGAACCUUACCCAGGCUUGACAUACAGGUGGUAGGGAUCCGAAAGGUGACCGACCCGCAAGGGAGCCUGAACAGGUGUUGCAUGGCUGUCGUCAGCUCGUGUCGUGAGAUGUUCGGUUAAGUCCGCUAACGAGCGCAACCCUCGCUGCGUGUUACAAGUGUCACGCAGGACCGCCGGUAUUAAGCCGGAGGAAGGUGGGGAUGACGUCAAGUCAGCAUGGCCUUUAUGCCUGGGGCUACACACACGCUACAAUGGGCAGUACAAUGGGUUGCUAAGCCGCGAGGUGGAGCCAAUCCCCCAAAACUGUCCUCAGUUCAGAUUGCAGGCUGUAACUCGCCUGCAUGAAGCCGGAGUUGCUAGUAAACGCGCGUCUGCUAUAGCGCGGUGAAUACGUUCCCGGG
rnacentral:rRNA from 1 species